UACGGGGGGGGCAAGCGUUGUUCGGAAUUACUGGGCGUAAAGGGCUCGUAGGUGGCCAACUAAGUCAGACGUGAAAUCCCUCGGCUUAACCGGGGAACUGCGUCUGAUACUGGAUGGCUUGAGUUCGGGAGAGGGAUGCGGAAUUCCAGGUGUAGCGGUGAAAUGCGUAGAUAUCUGGAGGAACACCGGUGGCGAAGGCGGCAUCCUGGACCUGUCCUGACGCUCAGGCGCGAAAGCUAGGGGAGCGAACAGG
rnacentral:rRNA from 1 species